GGCGAUGGAAUUAAACCGAUAAAGCAGGAUUUGAGAGGCGUUGACUCGUAAUCCGUUGGUUGUGGGUUCGAAUCCCAUCCUCGCCA
rnacentral:tRNA from 1 species